UGAAAACAACUAGGGAUACUUGAGA
rnacentral:piRNA from 1 species